AGAGUUUGAUCCUGGCUCAGAAUCAACGCUGGCGGCGUGCCUAACACAUGCAAGUCGAACGCGGUUAGCUCGCAAGGGCUAACUGAGUGGCGAACGGGUGAGUAACACGUGGGUGACCUACCUUCGAAUGGGGGAUAACGUCCCGAAAGGGACGCUAAUACCGCAUAACAUCCUGCUUUUGAACAGGUGGAGAUCAAAGCCGGGGAUCGCAAGACCUGGCGUUUGAAGAGGGGCCCGCGUCUGAUUAGCUAGUUGGUGAGGUAACGGCCCACCAAGGCGACGAUCAGUAUCCGGCCUGAGAGGGCGGACGGACACACUGGGACUGAGACACGGCCCAGACUCCUACGGGAGGCAGCAGUGGGGAAUUGUUCGCAAUGGGCGCAAGCCUGACGACGCAACGCCGCGUGGAGGAUGAAGGUCUUCGGAUUGUAAACUCCUGUUGCCCGGGACGAAAAGCUUCGACCUAACACGUCGAAGUCUGACGGUACCGGGUGAGGAAGCCCCGGCUAACUCUGUGCCAGCAGCCGCGGUAAU
rnacentral:rRNA from 1 species